GUUAUUUGUCAAUUACAUUAAGUAAAGGAAUUAGCAUUAUCACAGGUCCAAACAUGGUGAUUAUGAGAAUUUGCUAUUAUGGUGUUACACAGGAUUAAUGUGUCAAAACAGCCCAAGGUGAUAUAUGCACUGACGAAGUUUUCUGGUUGGGUCCAUUAAGUGUAUACCUGCAGUAAAAAGCAAUUUAAAACUUAGCAAAGUCAUCACUAGAUCACUGACAAACUCAUCCUUAGAGACAGUGCAUGGUAAUUGCUUUGUUCACCUGCUCAUAUUAACACUUUGAUUCAGCGUAACUCUUUUGAUUCAGCCUUUGCAACAGCACUUUUUCCAAAUGUGAUGUUAUUACAGAGAUGUCGUACAAAAAUUGACCUAUCAUGUAGGCACAAUGCAUGCUUUUCAAUAUUACAGCAGAAAAAAAAAUGUGAUGUUUAAUGCUGCUAGUGCCUAGGAAUCUGGUAUGAGAAAACAUUAAGGUGAGUUUGGAGAAAAACUGAGCUGGUAUUAUGUUUGGAGAAAUGACUUCCUGAUUCAGAAAGAGAAUUUCAAGAGUUUAGAAUGCCUCCCAUUGUUAUAUUAGAAUCAUAUUACUCGUAAAAGGUAGUAUAAAUUUUUGUAAUAGUGAUAAUUCUGGAUUUAAUAGUUUAACAAGUGUUGACAUUUAAUUCCCAUAACAUAGGAAGUACAAUUAUAUCCAUCUUAUACACAAGGAGCUAUGGUACGGAAAGGUUCAAUAACUUGUUGAAUAUAGCAGAUCUAGUAAAUGGCAAAGUCAGGAUUUAAAUCUAGGUCAAUUUGAUUGCCAAGCCUGGGCCAUUUACUACUGUGUUAUAUAUGUUACUUCCUAUAAAAACUUAGUAAGAAGGUCUUUCAUUUUCAAACCGAAAUGGACAGAACACUGGUGUAAGCAGUGUUCUGAAGCUUUUGGUCUCAGGAUUCCUUUAUGCUCUUAAAACUUACUGAGGAUCUCAAAGGGCUUUUGUUAUUGAUAUUUACUACAUAAGAAAUGAAAACUGAGACAUCAUCUGAUAAUUAAAAAAACAAGCUAAUCAUAUGAUAAUAUAAAUAACAUUGUAGUGAAAAUAAGCAUAUAUUCUAAAACAAAAAUGUUAGUGAUGAGGUUGUGUUUUGUUUUUUACAUUUUUUUGAUUUUUUUUUUUUUUUUUAGACUAAGUCUCUGUCACCAGGCUGGAGCAGUGGUGCGAUCUCGGUUCACUGCAACCUCCACCUCCUGGGUUCAAGUGAUUCUCCUGCCUCAGCCUCCUGAGUAGCUGGGAUUACAGGCAUGUGCCACCAUGUCCAGCUAAUUUUUGUAGUUUUUAGUAGAGACGAGGUUUCACCAUGUUGAUCAGGCUGGUCUCAAACUCCUGACAGGUGAUCCACCCGCCUCGGCCUCCUGAAGCGCUGGGAUCACAGGUGUGAGCCACCACCCCCAGCAGACAUAUUUCAUUAUACAAUGCAAAAAAAGUCACGUUUUAAAAAGAUCACCACCGAGCUCACCAGGAUAGUCUUUACAUAUUCGGAAGCUGUUAAGUUCAUGGUAGCAGGUAUAAGAUGUUAAAAAUACUAAUUUUUGCUUAAAAGCUUGAAUUUUAUCACUUAUAACCUACAGGGGUCAUGGGCCAUGCUAUGAGGAUCACUGGUGUUAGAGGUUUGGUUGGAGAGAUGCAAGUAAGAGAACAUUUCCCUAACAGGCCUAAACACAUUCCUUUUCAGAGUGCUAAAGGAAUUUGAAAAUGAGGUCUCAGAAUUACUAGCAGUAAUUCCUGAUAAAUUAAGAAAAAUGGGAGAGAGUCCAGAGACAAAGACAUGAGAAAAGAUUGCUGUAACUCUCCAGAAGGAUGGAUUCUGGGUACACAAGCAGAGACUGGGUCAUAGUUCUGACAAGAGGACCUCACAGAAGACUCCAUUUGAAACACCCCCAAAGACCAUGCAGAAUAAUGUUUAAUUAAACAUCUGGACCCGCCCUGCCGCCAUGGCCCAGUCAAGUUGACACACAACAUUAUUACGAGCAGUUUGCUGGCAGAAUUCCUUCUUGCUCAGGAGAAGUCAAUCUUUGUUCUAUUAAGGUCUUCAUCUGAUUGGAUGAGGCACAUCCACAUUAUGAUUACAGAAAAACAUCUCUUUGAAGCUGGCACUGCUGAUGAAAACAAAAGCAGUAGAUGGAGAAAAGAGGACGAAUAAAGAAAAUUUGGGCUGAUGUUCUCCAGAAAAGGAAAGGGUGACCACCUUGUCAACGGAUUUGUUGAGCACCCAUUAUGUGUGGGAAGGGAUUACCAAACGCUACAGAAAUCUCUGUCUUGAGGUCAUGUAACAGUCUAUUGAGGGAACAAGGCACAUAUAUACCAAAAUGAUUUAAAUGGCAAGAUGCUAUUUGGAGUAGCUACUUUGAGGACGAGAGACAAAAAGCCUGAGGAGAAAGUCACCAUGAAGGAAACAGAAAGAUUAAAGAGCACGUGUGAUCUUUGAUUCAGAGUCCCCAUCUCACC